rnacentral:misc_RNA from 1 species
AACGCACCUUGCGCCUUUGGGUAUUCUCAAAGGCAUGCCUGUUUGAGUGUCAUAACAAUCUCAUCUCCCAAUCUUUUUGAAAGAAAAGGUUGCUUGGAGGUGGUGAUGGGCGCUUGCCAUGCUGAAUAAGUCUGGCUCGCCUUAAAGACAUCAGUAGCUCUUAUCGAGUCCGGUCUGACUAUGUGUGAUAAUUUGAUCGCAUAGGAUGUGCUUGCACAACCGGUCUUAUUUUAAGAGUCUGCUUCUAACCUGGAAUGGUAUGAGAGUAACUUUCAUCCAUCGCAGCUUUAUUUGUCUGACCUCAAAUCAGGUAGGACUACCCGCUGAACUUAA